rnacentral:snRNA from 1 species
AUACUUACCUGGCCCGCUUCUCGAGGUGGUCACCAUGGCCUCGGUUGUGUGGUCGGUCUUCAUCUUGCACUUUGUGAGGACCUUCCGCAGUCGGCCCUUCGGGUGUCCGGCAGGGCUCAAUCUUUGUCAGGCUGAGGACCCGCGCCUUGCGCGGCCUCGGC